CCCCCCCCCCCCGACCGCUGCCAGCGCUGGUUCUGGAGUUGUUGCUGGCAUUGGACCGGAUCUAAUCUCGGACAUGAUGAUUAACAUGCACUGAAGGAACUACAGGAACCGGGGACUGGGUUGGGUCUGUGGGACUCCAGGACCAGAGUUCUGCAGAGGCUGGGGACGGUCCGAAAACAGCGAUUCUGGACCAAAAACGAAAUCCAAAAUCUCUUAAUGCUGAUAUUCUCUUACCAAUAUAGAGGUUCUUUAAGUUUCUUCACCUGGUUAGAGGUUUUUUAUCAUUUUAUAGAGUGUAUAAAGAAUACGAGACCUUGAUUUAUAUGUAGCAUUUACUGUAUUUAUGGAUUUUGGAUGACUAAAGUACAGCUUUCAAACAUGGUGGAGGUAGUUUCAUCAUCUACAACAAUUCACAGUGAUAGCUGGCCAGGAUAAAGUACAGCUUCUAAACAUGGUGGAGGUAGUUACAUCAUCUAAAAAACAGCUUCUAAACAUGGGGGAGGUAGUUACAUCAUCUACAACCACUCGCAGUGAGAGCUAGCCACGAUAAAGUACAGCUUUUAAACAUGGUGGAGAUAGUUACAUCAGUACAUAAAUAAAGUGGCCGGUUGGUGAAUAGUAUGGAUAGUGGGUUUAAUCCAAGGGACCACAGACCAAGACAGUAGGGUGCUUUAGUCUUGUUUUUUAUUUUGUUAAUUAUUAUUUAGUUAUUUAAUUGAUUUAUUCACUUUUGAACAUACAAAAUGCACUGUAGUUUCACUUGUUGAAAUACUGAUAAGCCACCAGGUCAGAGCAUCUUUAUAUAAGGGCUUAUAAUAUAUAGUUUUACUGGUUUCGUUUGUUGGUUUGUUUGUUCUAUUUGUUUGUUUCCCUUUUAUGUUUUUUUUGUUUUUUAGUUACAGAUAACACAAAAACAGACACCGCCAUGAUUGUCUGUGACUGUGAUUUCAGCAGUGUGUCAGUUAGUGUGUUCGUGUUCAAUCACAGUAUAAUAAAUGUUGUGUACUGAAAGUACUAAAAGCUUUCAAACAUGGAGGUGGUAGUUACAUCUACAGUUCUAGCCCUAUGGGAAUCCCGGAUGGGAUUAAAUUAUCUUUUGAAACAUUUUUUGCUGUUUCUAUACCUACUUUGUUUGAUCUGGGCCAAAAAUAUGAAUUAUAGUCAAGUUGGUUUGCCGUUUAACAAGGGCAUUACAGGACCAAUUACAGUACGUUACAUCAGGUUAUAUCACCUAUUUUAAACAAUAGAAGAAGAAAAAGAAGAGAUGUUAUGCCGAAAUCCGACUCCCCUUGGUUGUCAGGUGCUGGUGAUUCUGUAUCUACUGUAACUGUAGAUUAAUCCUUAUUUAUGAAGACUAAUAAAAGGAAUUGACAACAUUCUACAAACCAAUCAGAUUUGAGUAUAGGGAGACUCCGCCCAUGUUGGUAAUGAUAACUAACAGAACGUAGUAAAGUUGUUUAGUGCGAAACCAAAACUAACCGGAUUAAAUAAAGAACAGAAAUACGAUGUCCAACUCUUUCUGAAUGUACACUGAUUAAAAAAAUGCUGCAUCAUUUUUUUUUAUGAUUACUUACUUGAGAUAACUUACGUUUUUAUGAUUAUAUAUAAUUUUUAUUCACAUUUUUGUUUUUUACGAUUUACUAUUUUAUUUUAGCAAAUUUUUGGUACAUUUGUUUUUUAUUUGUUUUAGAGAAUAUUUGGACCAAAUUUUGAAGUCACAGAUAAAAAAAAAUAAAAAAGACAUGAGUUUAUCAACGGUUUGUAAAAUAGAGUUGUAUUUUUGUGUUAAGACCAGCAUUUGUUCUUACUUUAUGUUUGGUUAUGAUUGUGAAAUCAGAACGUGUGAUGCUGGUGAAGGAUGGUCUUUUUUAUUAUUUUCCAUAUAAUUUAUUAAUAAAAGAUAUUUCUGGUGAUUUGA